rnacentral:rRNA from 1 species
UACGUAGGGUGCAAGCGUUGUCCGGAAUUAUUGGGCGUAAAGAGCUCGUAGGCGGUCUGUUGCGUCGGCUGUGAAAACCCGGGGCUCAACUCCGGGCCUGCAGCCGAUACGGGCAGACUAGAGUUCGGCAGGGGAGACUGGAAUUCUCGGUGUAGCAGUGAAAUGCGUAGAUAUCGAGAGGAACACCAGUGGCGAAGGCGAGUCUCUGGACAUUUCCUAACGCUGAGGCACGAAAGCCAGGGGAGCAAACGGG